ACAAGGACAACAUGGGGGCACAAGAGCGUUGGCUUGUUUCUCUUUUGAAUUCCUGAUUCAGAAAGCAAUGGGUUCAGGGUCUUGGUGGAUUGUGAUUGAUCUACUCCUGUGGAGAGAAACUCCAACCUCCUGGAGUCUCUUGCCAAGACAUCAAGGAUCUCAAGGCACUGCGGGGCCUGAACAAGGACGACAGGGAUGUGGAUCACCCAGCCUUGUCCUCAGACGCCUAUAAUGUCUCCCUGGGAGUCUGCAGUGAGGUUUGAGCACAGUCAAGAAGAGAUUGAGGAACAUUGAAGGAAGACCAAGUUGUAAGGAGCUGUGUUUCAGCUUACAGAGGUGAAGAAAACACGGAUGAGAAGCAGCACUCACUGGAAGCACAGCACAGAAGCCAAAGGAACCAUCUACUCCUCCGGCAUUGCAAUAAUGUCUACCUGUGCCACCGUAGAAACGGACUUCUAACAUUGUUUUUCAAAGGUCUCCACUUCUCUCAAAGUCUGGCAAAUGUUGGAACUUUCCUGUUCUAUGUAGGAGCCUGCAUGCCCCAUGUCUCUCCUUUGCUAAAUCUUUGGGAACACACCUUGCUUCAGAGGACAUGGCAGGCUGGAGUAUUAACUGGAGCUGUGACAGAGCAGGCUUUCAACACAGUGUGGACAGUGCCAUCACCUAUGCUUACAACAUUUUU
rnacentral:lncRNA from 1 species